GACGUAGGGCGCGAGCGUUGUCCGGAUUUAUUGGGCGUAAAGAGCUCGUAGGCGGCUUGUCGCGUCGUCCGUGAAAACCUGCAGCUCAACUGCAGGCUUGCGGUCGAUACGGGCAGACUAGAGUCAGGUAGGGGAGAACGGAAUUCCUGGUGUAGCGGUGAAAUGCGCAGAUAUCAGGAGGAACACCGGUGGCGAAGGCGGAUCUCUGGGCCUUGCCUGACGCUGAGGCGCGAAAGCUAGGGGAGCGAACAGG
rnacentral:rRNA from 1 species